rnacentral:tRNA from 1 species
GUCCCUGUUGCGCAAUGGAUAGCGCAUUGGACUUCUAAUCCAAAGGUCGUGGGUUCGAAUCCCGCCUGGAAUG